GGUGGAAGCAAGAGUCUGUGCCUUGGUGAGUGGAGUGAUGGAGGGAGCAGUUAAAGCCAGUGCUUCAGGAGGGCAGGGCUUGUGGCUACCACCAGAGCAGGACAACGUGAGGGCUUCCUGAAUCUCAUGGCAGUGGAGGAGGCCAAAAGGAGUCUGCAGUGGAAUGCUUCAGUUUUCACUACGUGGGUGUGAACUGUGUCAAGCAGUGCAGACCACGUGAGUCAGUGCCGCGUGGUCCAGCUGCACAGCGCCUUCCCAUUAUGAUGGGAAAAUGACGGGAAGGACUAAGAUGUGCCGUAAGCAAUGCUGGGAAAAACUGGUCCUCGAGGUCCCAUCCUAUUAGAUUUCUUCAUUUAUCUUUUUUUCUAAUAUGCUUGGGAUCCAAAAUUUGCACAAAUCCACAUAGUUUUCUUUCAAGCUGAUGUAUCAUGUAGCAAUGAAA